UGGAAUCGCUAGUAAUCGCGGAUCAGCACGCCGCGGUGAAUACGUUCCCGGGCCUUGUACACACCGCCCGUCACACCAUGGAAGUCUGCAAUGCCCGAAGCCGGUGGCCUAACCACUUAUGUGGAAGGAGCCGUCUAAGGCAGGGCAGAUGACUGGGGUGAAGUCGUAACAAGGUAAC
rnacentral:rRNA from 1 species